rnacentral:rRNA from 1 species
UACAGAGGGUGCGAGCGUUAAUCGGAAUUACUGGGCGUAAAGGGCGCGUAGGCGGCGACUCUAGUCAGAUGUGAAAGUCCUGGGCUUAACCUGGGGACUGCAUUUGAUACUGGGUUGCUUGAAUUCGGGAGAGGAUAGCGGAAUUCCCAGUGUAGAGGUGAAAUUCGUAGAUAUUGGGAAGAACACCGGUGGCGAAGGCGGCUAUCUGGACCGACAUUGACGCUGAGGCGCGAAAGCGUGGGGAGCAAACAGG